CGUGGAGGAUGACGCAUUUCGGUGUGUAAACUCCUUUUAUAUGUCAAGAAAAUGACGGUAGCAUAUGAAUAAGCACCGGCUAACUCCGUGCCAGCAGCCGCGGUAAUACGGAGGGUGCAAGCGUUAUUCGGAAUCACUGGGCGUAGAGGACGCGUAGGCGGGAUGCCAAGUCUGAUGUGAAAUCCUAUGGCUCAACCAUAGAACUGCAUUGGAAACUGGUAACCUAGAGUAUGGGAGGGGGAGAUGGAAUUAGUGGUGUAGGGGUAAAAUCCGUAGAUAUCACUAGGAAUACCGAAAGCGAAGGCGAUCUCCUGGAACAAUACUGACGCUAAGGCGUGAAAGCGUGGGGAGCAAACGGGAUUAGAUACCCCGGUAGUCCACGCCCUAAACGAUGUUCACUAGUCGUCGGAAUGCUAGUCAUUUCGGUGAUGCACUUAACAGAUUAAGUGAACCGCCUGGGGAGUACGGUCGCAAGAUUA
rnacentral:rRNA from 1 species